UGGUCUGGAGAUAAAUAAUUAGGUUUUCAUUUGUAGAAACAAUAAAAUAUAAUACUUUUGGCAAUCGAGCUAACAUACAACCUAUGUGGAAAAAGGAAUACAAGGAUAAACUAAAAAAUGAGAGAAAAAUUUUAUUUGCUAAAUAUAGGAAUGCUAAUGUACUAUAUAUAUAUAGUGUAUAAAAAAGUUAGGUAUUUCUGGAAAUACCAGAAAUACCCACUGUAUCCGCCAGUGCGUGCAGUACUGUCCCGCUUGGAUGCAAUGCAAGCCAAGGACCGCUUUGACCGACCGAGCCAUAUGCGAUACAGCAGACGAUCUAACGGCAUCUUAUACUGACGUUGGGCGCCUUUUAUCGAUCAUAUCGAUAGCAUAUACUAUAUACAAAGACGCCUGUAGAGCAUCAGAGGAGAGGACAUCCUGGCAGACAGUGCUUGCCUGCUGCUUGAGAGAGAGAGAAGUAACGGACGCAAGCACAAAUCACGGACGUGAGAGGCCAAGCGGACGCUCCCGCGUCCACAAAUCUUACACUAAUAAAGGCAAAGAACGCAUAUCACAUAGUUGUAAAUAGAACAUCUCUCUUCUUAUCUUACUAAUUAAAAUAUCUUUCUAUCCUAGCUUCUUAUGGCAUACAAUAUGAAAUAUUUCACAAUGCAAUGUAUCUUUUGGAAACAAAUUGUAAUGUAUUUAUUAGAGACUGAACAAUGACAUUCAUCGAAUAUGUGAGGACUUCAUCCGGAUUGACUUAUGUUUCUAAAAUUGAACUCGUAUUUGCUUACAACUUCAUAAAUUUCAUUACACAAAAAAUCUUUUAUAAGAUGUUUUGAUUUAGUCCUUGGAGGCGGUUGGGCCAGCUGCCCACCUCAAUUAAUCACUACAGGAUUCGGACGUUUUGCCGGGAGCCGAAUACUUCCGGCAAAGGCUACUUUACACUCGGCAAAGUCUUUGCCGGGAGUAGCAUCCGGCAAAGACCCUCCGGCAAAAAAUUGGCCGGCAAAGAUUUCUUUGCCGGGAGCUUUUUAUCGGGCACCCGGCAAAGACUUUGCCGAGAGUAAACACAGCCCCCGACAAAGAAAAGUGACCGUCACGUCGCCGGCUCCGUCGGUCCUUUUUUUGCCGGGAGCUGUGUCAGAGACACCCGGCAAAGAUUUUUUAACUUUUUUUCCCAAAUAUUCUUUGCCGAGAGCUUUCUGGGUAGGCUCCCGGCAAAGGUUUUUUUUCCAAUAAUUUCUUUGCCGGGAGUCUUGUCCCUGACACCCGACAAAGAUUUUUAUUUUAUUUUUUAACAAUUACUUUGCCGGACGCCAGGGCUAGGGCACCCGGCAAAGCCUUUUUUUAAUUUUUUUUUAUUUUUAUAUUUUUUGAUUCUAUAUUUACAAACAUAAUAUAACACAUAUUUAUAUCAACAACAGAAUAUAGCACAUCUAUCUCAUCACAAACUCAAUCCGGCAUAUAUAUAUCACUCACCAACACAAGAUCUCACAUGCAUACACGACAUCGCAAACAUAAUAGUUCCAAUAUCCAUCAUCACAAGUCGAUAGUCGUUCACAGUGCAUCACAUGUCCAUCAAGCCGUGAAAAAAGAGAAACAAACUAGAGGUGGGGGGAAACUGAGUGCCCGGUGAAGGAAAAGCGCCGUCGCCUGCUUGCGCCUGAGAUGGGUUAUUUGAACCCGCCCACUGAGGCUACAUAAAGGACAAGAGAUUGCAUGUGUGAGAGUGGUCAAUUUGGUCUUUAUGUCAUGAAAGAAUAUGAAAGCACUAGUCAAAGCAAUUUGUUUUCAUACUCACAGGACUAGCUAGAAGUAGCGGCGGUGGAGCGAACUGUGGCAUAGCUACACCGUUGACUUGCCCAAAGCUCUAUAAAAACGCCGUAAUCUCCGCUAGCUGCUUGGCUUGUCUUUCCCGCUCGGCCCGCUCAACCUCUCUUUCCCGCUCGGCUUGCUCGGUCCUCGCCGCCAGGUCCCGCAGCUCCUGAGCCAUCCUCUGGUUCUAUUUAAGAGGUGCAAAGGCAUCUAAGUUAUGUAAACAUCAAUGUAUGGAGAGUUAAAUGGGAGAAACCUUAAGUUCAUCGACGCGCUGCUGUGAAGGGGACAGCCGUUGGCGUAUGGCUGGGCCUCCGCUCGGGGUCUCUGCUCGGAUCUGGGAGAGGGUGGGAACAGAGCUGGACUCAAGGGUGCCAUCACCAAGCCAGUACCGUCCAUGCUGAAGGGUCGAGAUGGCGGACUAGAGAGGGGGGGUGAAUAGUCCUUUUUAAAACUUAUCGCACCGGCUAACCGAAACAAAUGCGGAAUUAAAACUAUCGGUCUAGCCAAGACUACACCCCUCUAUCUAAGUUCUCUAGCACCUUGAAAAGAUCCUAAACAAGCAAGCAAGGUGCUACCUUAGCAAGAGCUCACCUAACCAAAUCUAGAAGCAAGGUCACACAAACCUAUGCAACUAGUACUUUGCAAACAGGGGGAGCUCCUACUCAAACUAGUGAGGCAAAGCGCACAAAGCCUAAGCACACUAGCAAGCUCAAUAACAAGGUAACUAAUGCCAAAUUAGAGAGCGCAACUUACUUAGCUACACAAACUAAGCAAUGUGACUAAUAAGGUUACACAAACCAAAUUAGUCACGCAAGGGAACUACUUCUAGCUACACAAGCAAGAAG
rnacentral:lncRNA from 1 species